GACGAACGCUGGCGGCGUGCCUAAUACAUGCAAGUUGAGCGCUGAAGGUUGGUACUUGUACCAACUGGAUGAGCAGCGAACGGGUGAGUAACGCGUGGGGAAUCUGCCUUUGAGCGGGGGACAACAUUUGGAAACGAAUGCUAAUACCGCAUAAAAACUUUAAACACAAGUUUUAAGUUUGAAAGAUGCAAUUGCAUCACUCAAAGAUGAUCCCGCGUUGUAUUAGCUAGUUGGUGAGGUAAAGGCUCACCAAGACGAUGAUACAUAGCCGACCUGAGAGGGUGAUCGGCCACAGUGGGACUGAGACACGGCCCAAACUCCUACGGGAGGCAGCAGUAGGGAAUCUUCGGCAAUGGACGAAAGUCUGACCGAGCAACGCCGCGUGAGUGAAGAAGGGUUUCGGAUCGUAAAACUCUGUUGGUAGAGAAGAACGUUGGUGAGAGUGGAAAGCUCAUCAAGUGACGGUAACUACCCAGAAAGGGACGGCUAACUACGUG
rnacentral:rRNA from 1 species